rnacentral:rRNA from 1 species
AGAUUGAACGCUGGCGGCAUGCCUAACACAUGCAAGUCGAACGGGAGUAGCAAUACUCUAGUGGCGGACGGGUGAGGAAUACGUAGGAAUUUGCCCUUAAGUGGGGGAUAACCCGGGGGAAACCCGGAUUAAUACCGCAUGACCUCGAAAGAGCAAAGGUGGGGGAUCGCAAGACCUCACGCUUUUGGAGAAGCCUACGUCGGAUUAGCUAGUUGGUGAGGUAAGUGGCUCACCGAAGGCGACGAUCCGUAACUGGUCUGAGAGGAUGAUCAGUCACACCGGACUGAGACACGGUCCGACUCCGUACGGGAGCAGC